GCCUGUCCCAGUUCGGACUGGAGCUGCAACCCGACUCCACGAAGUUGGAUUCGCUAGUAAUCGCGCAUCAGCCAUGGCGCGGUGAAUACGUUCCCGGGCCUUGUACACACCGCCCGUCAAGCCAUGGGAGCCGGGGGCGCCUGAAGUCCGGGACCGCGAGGACCGGCCUAGGGCGAAACUGGUAACUGGGGCUAAGUCGUAACAAGGUACC
rnacentral:rRNA from 1 species